GGAAUAUUGGACAAUGGGCGCAAGCCUGAUCCAGCCAUGCCGCGUGUGUGAAGAAGGCCUUCGGGUUGUAAAGCACUUUUGUACGGGAAGAAAAGCACUCGGUUAAUACCCGGGUGUCAGGAUGGUACCGUAAGAAUAAGCACCGGCUAACUUCGUGCCAGCAGCCGCGGUAAUACGAAGGGUGCAAGCGUUACUCGGAAUUACUGGGCGUAAAGCGUGCGUAGGCGGUUUGUUAAGUCUGUCGUGAAAGCCCCGGGCUCAACCUGGGAAUGGCGAUGGAUACUGGCGAGCUAGAGUACGGUAGAGGAGAGUGGAAUUCCCGGUGUAGCAGUGAAAUGCGUAGAGAUCGGGAGGAACAUCAGUUGCGAAGGCGGCUCUCUGGACCAGUACUGACGCUGAGGCACGAAAGCGUGGGGAGCAAAC
rnacentral:rRNA from 1 species